CUAGGGUUUGAAGCCCAGUUACUUCUCUCUCGUAUUAUAGCUCAAUGGGAGAUAAUCGGAAUCUGUAUGAAACCUAGAUCCGUUAAUGAUCGAGAUUGGAAGAAAGGGCGUCAGCGACCAAGUUUCCUCGGUUAACAUACCUUUACUACUGACCAACGGUAAGUCAGGGCGGAGGCAUGAAUGGUAACACGGCUCCAGCGUGAGCGUCGCCGCCUGAGUUUGUCUAGGAACACUAUCCUCCCGUGGUAUGCCUGUGUCUGAGGGAUUCAUCAUUAACCGGGGAUCUAAAAUAACUUGUCAGUGUUCUCUGUAGGAGAGAGUGGCUCCUCAACGCCUCCCUUUAAAUGUUCUCUCUUGAGGAGAAGAAGAACAUGUUCUCUCUUGAGGAGAAGAAGAACAUUGAAAUUUUUGGUAAAUCUCAAUGCUGAAACUCUCCAUUGAAGGUAAGGGAAGGUUGCAGGUGCUAGCGGAAGGUAGGAGAUGAUUGAUUUUUCUUGCUUGUUUUAGGAAUCGGACAAGAGUUGGACGGUUUAUCGACAAUGCAUUUGAGACUUUAUAACUUCUAAUAAUUUCAACCUCUUUCCAUUAAAUCCCCUCAUAAUAUUGAAACUUUCAAUCAAUUGCCUCGUUACAUCAUUGUUGAA